rnacentral:rRNA from 1 species
GACGAACGCUGGCGGCGUGCUUAACACAUGCAAGUCGAACGGGCCCGCCCCUGUUUUUGGGGGUGGGGUGAGUGGCGAACGGGUGAGUAUCACGUUAGUAACCUGCCUCCUGCUCCUGGAUAACUGCUUUAAAGGGCGGCUAAUACGGGGUGUGCCGGCUGUUCCGCAUGGGCCUGGUCGGGUUAGUUUCUUGUUCGGUUGUUUCGGUGGGGGUUGGGCUCGCGGCCUAUCAGCUUGUUGGUGGGGUGCUGGCCCACCCAGGCGGUGACGGGUAGCCGGCGUGGGGGGGUGGGCGGCCAGGAUGGGACUGAGGCACGGGCCAGCCUCGUGAGGGAGGCAGCAGUGGUGGGUGUUGAACGGUGGGAGGAAGCCCGAUGCAGAGACGUCGCGUGAGGGAUGGAGGCCUUCGGGUUGUGACCCUCUUUCUGAGGUGAUGGAGGCCCUGUCCGUUGCGGCGGGGUUGACGGUAGCCGGGUAUGAAGCGCCGGCUAACUACGUG